rnacentral:lncRNA from 1 species
AUUAUAUUUUUUUGGGAAUCCAAAUUUUUAAACAAAAAAAAAGCCUUACAUUUUUUUCACGUAUAUGUUUCUAAUCACAAAUAAAAACCAUUAUCACCAUUGAUGGGAAAAGAAGCAGAUGAAGGUAACAAAAAAAAAUUGCCGUAAAAAGUUGUAUUGAAUCAAAAGUUUGUAAAAAAGAUGUAGAAUUUGUUAAAAUAUUUUUUUGCAAAAAAACAUAUUUGAUAGAAGAAGAAGAAGAAGAAGAACUGAUAUAAUGAUGAUGAAAGUAAAAAAUCUUGGAGAGUUUGAAAAAGUCUCAAGUCUUUUGGUGAGAUUCUUGAACAAGUGAACAAAGAAAAGAAGAAGGAGUGUGCAGUGAUGAUGAACUAUGAAAAAAUAAAGAAAAAAAAAUUUGAUACAGUGAUG